CUGGCUCAGGAUGAACGCUGGCGGCGUGCCUAAUACAUGCAAGUCGAGCGAGAACUUGAUGAUCGAAGAUUCGUCUGAUCGAUUCAAGGGAAAGCGGCGGACGGGUGAGUAACGCGUAGGCAACCUGCCCUUAGCAGAGGGAUAGCCAUUGGAAACGAUGAUUAAAACCUCAUAACGCUUUUGGGACACAUGUCCCGAGAGCCAAAGAUUUAUCGGCUAAGGAUGGGCCUGCGUCUGAUUAACUGGUUGGUGAGGUAACGGCUCACCAAGGUGACGAUCAGUAGCCGACCUGAGAGGGUGAUCGGCCACAUUGGAACUGAGACACGGUCCAAACUUCUACGGAAGGCAGCAGUAAGGAAUCUUGCACAAUGGGGGAAACCCUGAUGCAGCAACGCCGCGUGAACGAAGAAGGCCUUCGGGUUGUAAAGUUCUGAUCUUGGGGAAGAAGGAAGUGACGGUACCCAAGGAGAAAGCCCCGGCUAACUACGUGCCAGCAGCCGC
rnacentral:rRNA from 1 species